rnacentral:rRNA from 1 species
ACGGAAGGCAGCAGUGGGGAAUAUUGGACAAUGGGGGAAACCCUGAUCCAGCGACGCCGCGUGAGUGAAGAAGUAUUUCGGUAUGUAAAGCUCUAUCAGCAAGGAAGAAAAUGACGGUACUUGACUAAGAAGCUCCGGCUAAAUACGUGCCAGCAGCCGCGGUAGUACGUAUGGAGCAAGCGUUAUCCGGAUUUACUGGGUGUAAAGGGAGCGUAGACGGCAAGGCAAGUCUGAUGUGAAAGCCCGGGGCUCAACCCCGGUACUGCAUUGGAAACUGUCGAACUAGAGUGUCGGAGGGGUAAGUGGAAUUCCUAGUGUAGCGGUGAAAUGCGUAGAUAUUAGGAGGAACACCAGUGGCGAAGGCGGCUUACUGGACGAUCACUGACGCUGAGGCUCGAAAGCGUGGGGAGCAAACAGGAUUAGAUACCCUGGUA